AACGAACGCUGGCGGCAGGCUUAACACAUGCAAGUCGAGCGCCCCGCAAGGGGAGCGGCAGACGGGUGAGUAACGCGUGGGAACGUACCCUUUGCUACGGAAUAGCUCCGGGAAACUGGAAUUAAUACCGUAUGUGCCCUACGGGGGAAAGAUUUAUCGGCAAAGGAUCGGCCCGCGUUGGAUUAGCUAGUUGGUGGGGUAAUGGCCUACCAAGGCGACGAUCCAUAGCUGGUCUGGGAGGAUGAUCAGCCACAUUGGGACUGGGACACGGCCCAAACUCCUACGGGAAGCAGCAGUGGGGAAUAUUGGACAAUGGGCGCAAGCCUGAUCCAGCCAUGCCGCGUGAGUGAUGAAGGCCUUAGGGUUGUAAAGCUCUUUCACCGGAGAAGAUAAUGACGGUAUCCGGAGAAGAAGCCCCGGCUAACUUCGUGCCAGCCGCCGCCGUAUAC
rnacentral:rRNA from 1 species